CCAUAUCUAGGCUCCCUGGCACCGCAGGGCCUUCGCGCCUGCGCACCUUGGGCAGCCUCUGGUGCACACCAUCUUUGCCCAGGUGACCCGCCCUCCUCCUCCUCUGCUUUGUGUCCCCACCCGGCCCCCGCCGUGUUCACGCUUCUGAGCAGGCAGUGAGACGGACAGCCGUGAAAAACGCUCUCAGGCGACACCCACCCUGUGGCUCCACGCUCUAACAGCUCGUGAGAUUUCUGCAAGCCUCGUUUCUGAGACCCACUGAGCACAGAGAACCGGGAGCUCCCAGGUGGAACUGUCAGCGCCUCCAGAACAAUUGAGAACAAAGCCAGCGUGUGGCUUUCUCACCGCCGGCACAAAAAUACAACGGAUGAACAGAAGUGACUCAUGGUAGUUCUGGUUGUGGGGACAUCAGCGUGUGCCAUCCUGUGACUGUGCAGAGAGGUCACAGCUCCAAGCAAGUGCAAAACACACCAGAUUCUGCAGUUCGAGGAAUCACGGAGACUCCUGACAUAGUCCCUGGCAGAAAGACGCGGCCUGGCGAAGCAGCUCAGCCCACUUGGGAAUGUCUGGGCUUCUAGGGAGGUGAAGACAGAGGACUUUGGCUCACAGACCCAAGUGUGCCUGACUGACACCAGGGGAAUAUUCACCUUUGAUUUUCCUUGCUUGGGUACUGAGCAGCUGUGUGACAUCAGGUGCCUAUCCCACGCUAGCUGCCAGAAUGGAGUCCAGGCUGUGUUGCUCGGCUGUCAGCAGCGAGGCCCCUGUCCCUUGACGACAUGGCUUCUCAGCAGCGCCCAGGAGCCCAGGGGCAGCCCGAUGCUUGAGCACAGCGCAUUGAAGGCAGCAGCUGUUAUUUCUCUACCAAACUGAAAACCGGUUGCCUAUAGGUGAGGGGGCCCUCAGUUCCCCAUGUGCCUCUCCUACCGACACCACACAGCUUUGCAGAGAGCCUGGACUCAGAGCGAUGGCUCGGCAGUCAAGAACACGCGUCAGUUCGUUACACCCACGUGGGGCUCAUGACUCAGGGGAUCCGACGGCCUCUUUUACCCUCCGAGGGCACCAGUCACAUAUGUCAUGCAUAGAGACACAUGCAGACUAAACACUCACAU